rnacentral:snRNA from 1 species
AUACUUACCUGACGAGGACCAUACUGGGAUCAGGCAGCCAGUGGGUCCAGGGCGAGGCUUUGCCAUUGCACAUCGGCUUAGCUGACCCUUGCGAUUACCCCAAAU